GGCAACGUGGCCGAGUGGUCUAAGGCGCUGGAAUUAGGUGUGACUCAAAUAUGUCCACGAAAUCAAUCCAGUCCGAAAGGGCGCGAGUUCGAACCUCGCCGUUGUCA